UUAUAUAUGUGAUCGGAGGGUGU
rnacentral:miRNA from 1 species